rnacentral:lncRNA from 1 species
GUUGGAAUAUAGGAUGAGAGAAUGUAAGCAAAUUUAUUUAGAAAUUUAUUUUGGAGGAUGAAACUUAUGAAGAGGCUAUAUAAGAAUUAAUGUGUAUGUGGGUGUGUGGACGUGACAAACAAAGAAAUGAACAAGGGGAACACUUGAUUUUUAAAGCUAUUUAACUUGAUUGCUUUUUUGCUCUACACAUCAAUACCAAAGUGUACACACAUAUAUAUAUUAUGACUAUGUCGGUUAAGUAACCGACUUAAUUUGCUAGACUAUUCUAGGACACUUAUUUGCUAGAAUAAUCUAGAUAGUUAGCUAAUUAAUUCAAGUUGCCUUUUAAUCUAAAUAUCUUAGGUUCUAGAUUUUUCUACUUUCUUCCUAUAUUUUAUUUUUAUUUUUGAAUCUAGAUUUUUCUUUACAAAAUAUCUUUACUUACAAAUCAAGUUUAUAUUUCAACACUCCCCCUUAAACUUGAUUUGUCAUUCCGAGCAAAACUCUGAACUUGACGAAAUCCUCAAAUUUGAGCGGCUUGGUAAAAAUAUCGGCAACUUGAUCCUGUGAUUUUACAUACUCCACUUGAACCUCCUUCUUUGCAAUGCAUUCUCUGAUGUAGUGAAAGCGGGUGUCAAUAUGCUUGCUUCGAUUAUGAAACACCGGAUUCUUUGAGAGCGCGAUUGCCGACUUGUUAUCCACACAAAUAGUUGUUGGCUCCUUUUGUGGCCAUCCAAGCUCUUCCAGUAAACUCCGUAGCCAAACUGCAUGGCAAACACUGGAUGUAGCAGCCACAUAUUCAGCUUCACACGUUGAUAGCGUGACUAUGGGUUGCUUCUUGGACAUCCAGGUGAAAGCGGUGUCUCCCAUAAAAAAUCGAACCCGCUCGUACUCUUGCGGCCAUCAUUAUCUCCAGCCCAAUCGCUAUCACUAUAGCCAACAAGCUUAUAAUCAUGAGUAUUUGAAUAGAAUAGGCCGUAGUUGAGUCGUACCUUUGAGGUAGCGAAGAAUUCUCUUUGCCGCCUUAAAAUGCGUAGUGGUUGGAUUCUCCAUAUAGCGACUCACGAGUCCUGUCGCAUAAAGAAUGUCCGGCCUUGUGCAAGUUAAGUACCGUAAACUUCCAACCAAGCUCUUAAACAAUGUCGGGUCCACCUUUUCUCCUCCAUCGUUCUUGGAUAAUUUUAUCCCGCAUUCCACUGGCGUGUUGAUUGCUUUGCAGCCCUCCAUCUUGAACUUCUUGAGAAUUUCCUUGGCAUAUCCUUCUUGUGUGAUGAAGAUCCCAUCUUCGAGUUGCUUGACUUCCACGCCGAGGUAGUACGCCAUCAGCCCAAUGUCUGUCAUCUACAAACUCCUUUGACAUGGCCUUCUUGAACUCCUCAAUCAUCUUUGGAUUAUUCCUGUAGAAAAUCAAAUCAUCUACAUACAAGCACACAAUUAAGACAUCUCCUCCAUUGGCUUUCACGUAGAGAGCAUGCUCGUGAGGGCAUUUGGUGAAACCAUUCUCCUCCAAGUACUUAUCGAUCCUGCUAUUCCAUGCCCUUGGUGCUUGCUUUAGUCCGUAUAGGGCCUUCUUUAACUUCAAGACUUUAUCUUCUUGCCCUUUCACCUCGUAGCCCAUUGGCUGCUUGAUAUAGACUUCUUUGUCUAUAUACCCAUUCAAGAAGGCUGAUUUGACAUCCAUUUGAUAAAUCUUCCAUCUAUUUUGGGCUGCAAGAGAGAGUAUUAGUCUAAUAGUUUCUAAGCGAGCAACGGGAGCAAAUACCUCAUCAUAAUCGAUUCCAGCUCUUUGACUAUAUCCUUUCACGACGAGCCUCGCUUUAUAUCUUUCAACUUCACCUUUGGAAUUCUUCUUAACUUUAUACACCCACUUGACACCAAUAGCCUUGUGCCCUUUCGGUAGUGUCACGAGCUCCCACGUAUCAUUCUUCUUUAUGGCCUUGAUCUCUUCAUCCAUCGCGACUCGCCAAUUUUCACUAUCUGCUGCUUCUUCAAAGCUAACAGGCUCACAAUCAGCAAAUAGGCAAAAUAAGGUAAGAUCUUCUAACCUUUCAGUAUCCUCAUAUAUCUCGCCCAAACUCCUUGCUCGUGGUGUAGCUCUUUCAUUUAAGAAAGAUGGUGGCGAGUCUUCAGUGACUGGCACUGGUGAAGCUGGUGAGUCACUGGCUCUUGUGGACUUCUCCAAUUUGCUUCUUCUGCUACUUUGUUCUUCUAACUGUGGGAUGUAGGUGAAGUCANCUCACGAGUCCUGUCGCAUAAAGAAUGUCUGGCCUUGUGCAAGUUAAGUACCGUAAGCUUCCAACCAGGCUCUUGAAUAAUGUCGGGUCCACCUUUUCUCCUCCAUCGUUCUUGGAUAAUUUUAUCCCGCAUUCCACUGCCGUGUUGAUUGCUUUGCAGUCCUCCAUCUUGAACUUCUUGAGAAUUUCAUUGGCAUAUCCUUCUUGUGUGAUGAAGUAUCCCAUUUUCGAGUUGCUUGACUUCCACACCGAGAUAGUACGCCAUCAGCCCAAUGUCGGUCAUCUCAAACUCCUUUGACAUGGCCUUCUUGAACUCCUCAAUCAUCUUUGGAUUAUUUCCUGUGAAGAUCAAAUCAUCUACAUACAAGCACACAAUUAAUAUAUCCUCUC